CCCUUAGAUGUUCUGGGCCGCACGCGUGCUACACUGAGUGGAUCAGCGGGUCAGGUUGCGCGAAAGCGUUUCCUAAUCUUUAAAUCCGCUCGUGAUGGGGAUUGACGGUUGCAAUUUUCUGUCAUGAACGAGGAAUACCUUGUAAGCGCGGGUCAUCAUCCCGCGCUGAAUACGUCCCUGCCCUUUGUACACACCGCCCGUCGCUCCUACCGAUUGAGUGGUCCGGUGUGGCUUUGGGAUCUGAGCGGAAAGAGCGUUUCGCUGUUUCUGCUCGGAAAACUCAGUCGAACCUUAUCAUUUAGAGGAAGGAGAAGUCGUAACA
rnacentral:rRNA from 1 species